rnacentral:tRNA from 1 species
AAGGGAGACCUAAUUCAGGUAGGAGACGAAAAAAAGUAGUCCCUACCAAGAAUCAAUCCCAAAAGGUCGGGGCGAGGCAAAAUUGGCUUUCAAACUAGGUUCUGGGUUCACAUAAGACCUGAAUCAGGAACAAGGGCUAUUAGCUCAGGUGGUUAGAGCGCACCCCUGAUAAGGGUGAGGUCCCUGGUUCGAGUCCAGGAUGGCCCACCUGCACAGGUGGCAAAAACAAAGAAAAGAAGCUCCGAAUCAGCACCUUAUCUUACUCAUAUAGUAAGAGAGAAUGCUGGCUCUGAGUUCAGGGUCCAGAGGAACCUUGAAAACUGCAUAGAGCUAGGUGAAAAAGCCAAAAAAGAAGACCGCAAGGUCAAGCUAAUAAGGGCUAACGGUGGAUACCUAGGCAC